rnacentral:rRNA from 1 species
AACGAACGCUGGCGGCAGGCUUAACACAUGCAAGUCGAGCGCCCCGCAAGGGGAGCGGCAGACGGGUGAGUAACGCGUGGGAAUCUACCCAUCUCUACGGAAUAACGCAUGGAAACGUGUGCUAAUACCGUAUACGUCCUUCGGGAGAAAGAUUUAUCGGAGAUGGAUGAGCCCGCGUUGGAUUAGCUAGUUGGUGGGGUAAAGGCCUACCAAGGCGACGAUCCAUAGCUGGUCUGAGAGGAUGAUCAGCCACACUGGGACUGAGACACGGCCCAGACUCGUACGGGAGGCAGCAGUGGGGAAUAUUGGACAAUGGGCGAAAGCUUGAUCCAGCCAUGCCGCGUGAGUGAUGAAGGCCCUAGGGUUGUAAAGCUCUUUCACCGGUGAAGAUAAUGACGGUAACCGGAGAAGAAGCCCCGGCUAACUUCGUGCCAGCCGCCGCGGUAAGAC